CAGCAGCCACGGUAAUACGUAGGGUGCGAGCGUUGUCCGGAAUUAUUGGGCGUAAAGAGCUUGUAGGCGGUUUGUCGCGUCUGCUGUGAAAUCCCGAGGCUCAACCUCGGGCGUGCAGUGGGUACGGGCAGACUAGAGUGCGGUAGGGGAGAAUGGAACUCCUGGUGUAGCGGUGGAAUGCGCAGAUAUCAGGAAGAACACCGAUGGCGAAGGCGACCACCUGGACUGAUACUGACACUGAGGUGCGAAAGCGUGGGGAGCAAACAGGAUUAGAUACCCGAGUAGUCCCUGUCUCUUAUAC
rnacentral:rRNA from 1 species